rnacentral:rRNA from 1 species
AUUGAACGCUGGCGGCAGGCCUAACACAUGCAAGUCGAGCGAGCGGCGGACGGGUGAGAAAUGUAUGGGGACUGCCCGAUAGAGGGGGGUGACUACUGGAAACGGUGGGUAAUACCGCAUACUAUCGGAUAACCCAUAUGGUAUUAGCUAGUAGGUAAGGUAAUGGCUUACCUCUUCGACGAUCCCUAGCUGGUCUGAGAGGAUGCUCAUCCACACUGGGACUGAGACACGGCCCAGACUCCUACGGAGGCAGCAGUGGGGAAUAUUGCACAAGGGGCGCAAGCCUGAUGCAGCCAUGCCUCGUGUAUUAAGAAGGCCCUAGGGUUGUAAAGUACUUUCAGUCGGGAGGCGUUACCGACAGAAUAAGCACCGGCUAAAGCCGUGCCAGCAGCCGCGGUAAUAC